rnacentral:lncRNA from 10 species
AUAUGUAAUGAAUUUCCAGCCUCCAUGAAAACAAAAUGGACUCUUUCAUGCUGUCUCAACAUAUGAAUACAUUGCUCUGUCACCUGGGUGUUAUUACCGACUUAAAUCUGAAAGAAGCUGGGCACGGCAGUGGUGUGUGGGUGCCUGCAGUCCUGAGGAGCUGGGACUGUUUCCCGAACAAUGCCUUUCCACCACACACGGUGGUUGUGAGGGCCAGCUGAGGCAAAGCCCUCAGGAAGACCACUCAAGCCCAGGAGUCCAGCCUGCGCAAGACAGUUUUUUUAGGCUUCUGUCACCACAAAAUGUUACUUGGAAAACUAGAUCCCAGCAGAUGACCUGUACUUCUCUGCUCUCUCCCCUACUGCAAAGAGGCAGUGAGGGCAGCAUUAGUAAGCCUGACUCAGGGGAAGGUAAGUGGCCUGCAGAGAAAUGGUCCUAGGUCCGCAACCGAGGCGAGUGAACUUGUCGGACAGAUGCAGUCAGGAGCACGUCUUUGAAUUCCUCGCAGACGAUGUAUCCAUCAGUCCUGUGGGGACACAACGCGAUGUCAACCCUCGAACCUGCUGCCUGCUCUGCCUCUCCUCCCUCCCCAGUUUGUGGAAGACAGUGGGCCACAUCUGAGCACUAGGGGUCCUGAAGGAUGUCGCGGGUCAGCCAGUGUCCCACAUCCUCCGUGCAGAAGGCAGGCCUGUGGAAGCUGGCACUGCCUCUUCCUCCCCAGAUUCUGCCGAAGAAAGCUGGGGUGAAAGCCCCUAUCCAGCCUCACCCAUCAUGGAACAGAGCUCACUAACCAGGCAGCUGCCGGGGAAA